UGGAGAUGGUAGACUAGACUGGAGAAGGAAGACUAGACUGGACAUGGUAGACUAGACUGGAGAAGGCAGACUAGACUGGAGAUGGUAGACUAGACUGGAGAAGGCAGACUAGACUGGAGAUGGCAGACUAGACUGGAUAUGGUAGACUACACUGGAUAUGGUAGCCUAGACUGGAGAUGGCAGACUAGACUGGAGAUGGUAGACUAGACUGGAGAUGGUAGACUACACUGGAGAUGGUAGACUAGACUGGAGAUGGUAGACUACACUGGAGAUGGCAGACUAGACUGGAGAUGGUAGACUAGACUGGAGAUGGUAGACUGGAGAUGGCAGACUAGACUGGAGAUGGUAGACUACACUGGAGAUGGCAGACGAGACUGGAGAUGGUUGAUGAUGAUAAGUCUGACCUUUUCUGAAAUACAUCUCGUUAUGUCUCGAUACACCUGUAUCAGUGGGGAAUGUUUUGGUGCCCGCGUUGACAAGACAGCAUGCCUGAUAUGAUUCUCCCUGAGGUAUCACGUACACAAGACAGCAUGCCUGAUGUGAUUCUCCCUGAGGUAUCACGUACACAAGACAGCUGAUAUGAUUCUCCCUGAGGUAUCACGUACACAAGACAGCAUGCCUGAUGUGAUUCUCCCUGAGGUAUCACGUACACAAGACAGCAUGCCUGAUGUGAUUCUCCCCGAGGUAUCACGUACAUAAGACAGCUGAUGUGAUUCUCCCUGAGGUAUCACGUACACAAGACAGC